AUUAAAUAAAUUUACAGUUGAGGAACUAUUCAUAAAUAGUGUCAGUAUAUAUUUUCAUAACCUCUACUUGUUCUGUAUUGCCCGCGCCCCGUUUGCUUGAGCGAAAUUCUUAGAAUUCUUAACAUUCCCGCGCGCAUACACACACAUAUGCUUAUACAUACAGACGAGUAGCUAAAAAGUAAAAGAAGAAAAAAAAGAAACACAUUUGUAUAUAUAAAAGUUGUACUCUCCCUACGCGUCGAAGUGUAGACAUAAACACACAUACAAGCGCAUGCACUUGAACUCUCACGCACGCACACCAACCAAUACACACUAACACAGACAUUUAUACUCUAUUCAACACACCUCGAAAUUGGUUGUUGUCGCCACUAAGUGGAGACAAUUGCUGUCUCUUUUGCACGCACUCACUAACAAAAACUAGUAGGACUUGUUUUUUGCGUUGUUUUUACGCAAAGGCAAAAAAACCGGUAAGAUUUCAGAAGCGACGGCAGCAGUAGCAGUAGCAGCAGAAAAACAGAAAUGUUAUUGUGUGCGUAUAUGGGCCUAAAUGCAGUGUGCUUGUGUUGGUGUAUCUUCUAUGUGGUAGAAUACCACGUUAAUCAUAGUUUUCACACACCGCUUUUCUUACAGUUUUGUAAACAUAUACACAAACACAUGCAUAUGCAUAUACACACAAACGCAUACUAGCAGAUACCGAGCAACGAACUCGGGCAGCAGCGACGCCCAAGAAUGAAACAACAUAAGGCAACAUGAAAACUACAGCAACAACAAACAACACGGCAGCAUAAAAACAUAGAGAAAGCGAAUGAGAGGGGCAGAGACUGAGAGAGAGAGAAAGCAGGAGAGAAGCAGUUUUACGGCAACGACCCGAGCAGACGCUGCCGCAACAGCAGAAGCAGUAUUAUUAGCGGGUGUUGUUGACGUUCUCUUGAACGCUGCCAAUUGUCAUCUAUAACGCCCGACGGCUUCAUUCAGAUUUAUGUAGCACAGCAACCACCCCGCUCCCCGUCUAUUCAUCAUCAUCGUCGCCACCAUCAUUAUCAUCAUUGCCAGUCGUAUAAAGUUGGUUUCGCUUCUGUUUUAUUUUUAGUUUGUUUUUAUUUAUUUUAUUUGUUCUGCGGCGUCCAAGCAAAAGCCGGCGGUGAGAACUAACAGAAAUGACCGAAGUAACAGUAAUAUUUAAGCUGCAGCAGUA